AUACGGAGGGUGCAAGCGUUAUUCGGAAUCACUGGGCGUAAAGGACGCGUAGGCGGGUUGGCAAGUCAGAUGUGAGAUCCUACAGCUUAACUGUAGAACUGCAUUUGAAACUGCUAACCUAGAGUAUGAGAGGGGGAGAUGGAAUUAGUGGUGUAGGGGUAAAAUCCGUAGAUAUCACUAGGAAUACCGAAAGCGAAGGCGAUCUCCUGGAACAUAACUGACGCUAAGGCGUGAAAGCGUGGGGAGCAAACAGCAUUAGAUACCCUUGUAGUCC
rnacentral:rRNA from 1 species